CGCCACAAGUCAGACUUGACUGAAAGGACUGGACCACAAAUGAGAAAAUGAAAACUCAGAGAAUAAAAGUCAUUCGGUGGCAGAGUUGGGACCAGAAUCCAAGUCUUGUAUGACCUGAAAUUCAAUAUACUUUUUAAAAUAAAACUUUGUUGAAAUAUAAGCAUGAGUCAAAAUAAAAGGCUCUUUUAUUUUUCUGACUACUAGUAGAUCCAGAACUUCAUUUUUAUAUAUCAGACUUUCUCCCUUCUUGUUAUUGAUCAUCCUUUGUUUUCCAAGAGGACCAUUGACAUUAUGGGGUGAUAUCUUGACACUCAAGUGAAUUGGAUUUAAGUGAGGCAGAGUUGCACAAAGGUCAGCCUCACUUUCAGAAUCGUACAAGUCUAGUGACAAGACAAAAGUCAUG